ensembl:misc_RNA Y_RNA Y RNA
GGCUGAUCCGAUGGCAGUGGGUUAUCAGAACUUAUUAACAUUAGUGUCAUUAAAGUUGGUAUACCACCCCCCCCCCACUGCUAAAUUUGACUGGCUUAAA